UGGCGGCAGGCCUAACACAUGCAAGUCGAGCGGUAGAGAGAAGCUUGCUUCUCUUGAGAGCGGCGGACGGGUGAGUAAUGCCUAGGAAUCUGCCUGGUAGUGGGGGAUAACGUUCGGAAACGGACGCUAAUACCGCAUACGUCCUACGGGAGAAAGCAGGGGACCUUCGGGCCUUGCGCUAUCAGAUGAGCCUAGGUCGGAUUAGCUAGUUGGUGAGGUAAUGGCUCACCAAGGCGACGAUCCGUAACUGGUCUGAGAGGAUGAUCAGUCACACUGGAACUGAGACACGGUCCAGACUCCUACGGGAGGCAGCAGUGGGGAAUAUUGGACAAUGGGCGAAAGCCUGAUCCAGCCAUGCCGCGUGUGUGAAGAAGGUCUUCGGAUUGUAAAGCACUUUAAGUUGGGAGGAAGGGCAGUUACCUAAUACGUGAUUGUUUUGACGUUACCGACAGAAUAAGCACCGGCUAACUCUGUGCCAGCAGCCGCGGUAAUACAGAGGGUGCAAGCGUUAAUCGGAAUUACUGGGCGUAAAGCGCGCGUAGGUGGUUAGUUAAGUUGGAUGUGAAAUCCCCGGGCUCAACCUGGGAACUGCAUUCAAAACUGACUGACUAGAGUAUGGUAGAGGGUGGUGGAAUUUCCUGUGUAGCGGUGAAAUGCGUAGAUAUAGGAAGGAACACCAGUGGCGAAGGCGACCACCUGGACUGAUACUGACACUGAGGUGCGAAAGCGUGGGGAGCAAACAGGAUUAGAUACCCUGGUAGUCCACGCCGUAAACGAUGUCAACUAGCCGUUGGGAGCCUUGAGCUCUUAGUGGCGCAGCUAACGCAUUAAGUUGACCGCCUGGGGAGUACGGCCGCAAGGUUAAAACUCAAAUGAAUUGACGGGGGCCCG
rnacentral:rRNA from 1 species